CUCUCUCUCUCUCUCUCUCUCUCUCUCUCUCUUCGUUGCGGCGAACACACAUUCCCUAGACGGCGAAGCUACUCCUCUCCUGUGACUCUCCUUCAUAGUCAAUCAAUUCAGCCGAAAAGAUGGACCUUAAGAAAGAAUGUUCGGAAAAAGACAGGGAAGUAGACACCCUGUUGGUUCAGAUAAGCUCUGCUUUCUUUCCCAUAGAGUUAUAUUAGUGAUUACCAGAUCUUGAUAAUAUUUGAAUAUACAGUACUAUGUAUAAAAAUGUAUCAAUAUCUACUUAUUGAGCUGCGCAAAUAGGAAGUCAUAUACUACAAUUUAUCAUGUAAAAGUUAUUAAUGUGUUAAUUAAUAAACCUGUGAAUUUUCUA